CCCUGGCUCAGGACGAACGCUGGCGGCAUGCCUAAUACAUGCAAGUCGAGCGGAGUAAGAAUGGAAGCUUGCUUCCAUUCUUACUUAGCGGCGGACGGGUGAGUAACACGUAGGCAACCUGCCCUCAAGACUGGGAUAACUACCGGAAACGGUAGCUAAUACCGGAUAAUUUCUUUCCUCUCCUGAAGAGAGAAUGAAAGGCGGAGCAAUCUGCCACUUGGGGAUGGGCCUGCGGCGCAUUAGCUAGUUGGUGGGGUAACGGCUCACCAAGGCGACGAUGCGUAGCCGACCUGAGAGGGUGAACGGCCACACUGGGACUGAGACACGGCCCAGACUCCUACGGGAGGCAGCAGUAGGGAAUCUUCCGCAAUGGGCGAAAGCCUGACGGAGCAAUGCCGCGUGAGUGAUGAAGGUUUUCGGAUCGUAAAGCUCUGUUGCCAGGGAAGAACGUCCGGUAGAGUAACUGCUACCGGAGUGACGGUACCUGAGAAGAAAGCCCCGGCUAACU
rnacentral:rRNA from 1 species